UAGAUUUUAUUUUCAUCUUUUAUUAUGUUUCUACUUCAUUCAUCCAUCUAAGCUAUGGCUAAUUAUGCUCAUAAUCAUCCUAUCUUUUCAUAUAGAGUAUUUGAUUAGUUUGCUUUAGUGGUUGUAACUUAUACUUCGUAUCAUUCAUCUUAAUCAUGUCAUAAUUUAUUUUUUUUGAGGAAAAAUCAUGUCAUAAUUACAUCACUUACAUGUAUGAACGGCAUAUAUAGGAGUAGUAAUAUAUUUGCCCAUUUUCAUGACUAACUACAUAAAAAAUAUUGGGGGUUUCAGUAAUUUAAUUUUUUCUUUAUUUUUUUUCGGAAGAACUAUUAAGUUUGGUGUAAAUUUUCUUUUAAUUUUCUCUCUUGAAGUUAUAUAUGAUAGAUUGCAUGUCUUUUAUAUAUAUGACUAUCUAUGGCCAUUAUGUUUGUUCAGUUUACUUGAUCUGAUUUUAUAUGAAAUUUGUUUAUAUAAUCUAAACUAUUUUAGUUUGAUGUGAUAUUUUCUUAUCCAAUUAGGAUUUUUUUUUUGGUGUUUUAAUUUUUUUAUUUAUUUUUUAAAAAAAUGGAUAUGAUAUUAUACUAUAAAUAUUUAUUAUUGCAUUUGAUUUUCUUAGACGGAGUUCCUAAUAUAUUUACCACCAUUUGAAAGUAAGUGUUGAAAUUUGAAUUCUAAUAUCAAAAUUUUAAGAUUGAAUAUUAGAACUGUUUUUUGAUUAAUUUUAAUUGGGUUGGGUAGUUUUGGAUAGGUUUCGACUUACGCUUGACCAUCUUGACCCAAAAUAUUUGGUUUCACACAUAAUAUUUAAUUUUUGAACUUUGUGUUCAUGACCAAUUAUCGGGAUAUUAUUGAACUAUUGAUGCCGACUCGAAAAUUUCCAUGUAUAUAUAUAUUGUCCAUUAGUUUAGAUGCGAUGGAAAGAAUUUCAAAUAUUGUCCAUAUAUAAUUUAACUAUUAUUACACCAAUAAAAUUAUGGGCAUGUUCUGUUCAGCAUAAUUUCAAUUCAAUUUAGUUCAGUUUCUAAUUUUCUUCUCUCAUAAACAAUUCAUUUUAUCUCGAUUUAUUCAAUUCAUCAGUUCACUUUAGCCCUAAUCAUUUCAGUUCAAUUCAGUAAAUCUGAACAACCCCUAAAUGGGGAAAUUCCGUGUUUCUGAUGGUGAGAAACAAAUUUGUUUCUUAUAAUGGCAUUUUCGUGAAUAAAUCAACAACUUUUUCAUUAUUGUGGGCUCCACAAUUGAAUAAAGUUGUUGAUUUAUUUACGAAAAUGUCAUGUGAGAAACAAAAACCAUGAGAAACUAGGACAUCCUCCCCGACCCUAAAUGUAGUCACUAGUUUAGUAAGGAAGCAAGUGUUCUAUACUUUUAUUUACUAGCUAUACCUGAUUUUUACUUAUUUGAAUUUAUCUUAACUUAUUUGAACUUAUUUAAACUUGUUUUAGUUGUAAAUUGAACUUGGGUAACCCUUAUCAGAACUUUUUAAUCCUGAACUGAAUUUCUUAUCUUAAUCUAACUAGAUUUAUAUGAACUUAUAUGCACUUAUUAGACCUGACAUAAGUGAAAAUAAGAGGAAUGGAACAUGCCCUAAUUAUUGAGUAGGAGAUGUUGAUUUGAUCUAAUAUGACUUUUCCUUGCCUUAUUUGAUGAUACUAUUUGAAAUAAGUUCAAUUAAGCGUAGCCUAAGAUUCUCCAUCCAACUAAUUGAUAUUUCUUGUCGUUGUUACAUGUCCUGUUGGGAAAUUUGAAUUGAUGAAAGUGAAUAUUUUGAAGUAACAUUUUUUUUGUUUGUAAAUGAAACCUUCAUUUUUAUUUUUACUUUUGACAAAAAAAAAAAAAAACCUUUAUUAAGGUGCUAGAGCAAGUUUCAACAAUAUGUCAAUAAAUAAAGGACCAUAUUUUAUAUAUAUAUAUUUUUUUUCCUAUUUUUCAAAUGUGAGUACAACAAGCCAUUCCCAGAAAUCAAUCCACCAGAGAUCAAUGCUCAAUUUGGUGAUAAUAAUGUCCUAAUCAGAAUUACUUGUGUCAUUCAAAAGGGAGUUUUCAGUAAAUUAACCAGGAAGAUUGAAGAUUGUCAUCUCUUUAUUACAAACAUGAAUGUUGUGCCUAUCAAUGGUAAUGUAUCCCAUUUAACAAUUGUCGCUGAGAUGGAAUCGGAUUUCAGUAAGAGUCAAGAAGAUUUGGUGAAUGAUCUUCAUUCGAUUUUCCUGUAGUCAACAAGAUUAUAUACGUAUAUGAUGCAUUUAUCCAUAAUUAUGUACUUAAUAAGUUAGCAAUUUGGUCAAUUUUCUUUCAUUAUUCUAUCUCUCAAAAAUCAAGUCCUCCCUAUUUCUUUGUAACUCUAGAGACUAUCAGUGUAUCGUUGGUCUUCCAGGCUAUUGAUUGUAAAUCGUAAGUAUCUUUUCACUGUUAUUAAUUGCUUAUUAGGAGGAUAAUGCUCAGAAUAAAAUUUCUCUC